UACGUAGGGUGCGAGCGUUAUUCGGAAUUACUGGGCGUAAAGCGUGCGCAGGCGGUUUUGUAAGUCUGACGUGAAAUCCCCGGGCUUAACCUGGGAAUUGCGUUGGAGACUGCAAGGCUGGAGUCUGGCAGAGGGGGGUAGAAUUCCACGUGUAGCAGUGAAAUGCGUAGAGAUGUGGAGGAACACCGAUGGCGAAGGCAGCCCCCUGGGUCAAGACUGACGCUCAUGCACGAAAGCGUGGGGAGCGAACAGG
rnacentral:rRNA from 1 species